CGUAGGGUCCGAGCGUUAAUCGGAAUUACUGGGCGUAAAGCGUGCGCAGGCGGUUUUGUAAGCCAGAUGUCGAAAGCCCCGGGCUUAACCUGGGAAUGGCAUUUGGGACUGCAAGGCUGGAGUACGGCAGAGGGAGGUGGAAUUCCACGUGUAGCAGUGAAAUGCGUAGAGAUGUGGAGGAACACCGAUGGCGAAGGCAGCCUCCUGGGCUAGUACUGACGCUCAUGCACGAAAGCGUGGGGAGCAAACAGGAUUAGAUACCCUGGUAGUCCACGCCCUAAACGAUGACAACUAGUUGUUGGGGAUUUAACAUCCUUAGUAACGCAGCUAACGCGUGAAGUUGUCCGCCUGGGGAGUACGGUCGCAAGAUUA
rnacentral:rRNA from 1 species